CUUUUAAAGGAUAAAAGCUGAUCCAUUGGUCUUAGGAGCCACUCAUC
rnacentral:tRNA from 1 species